UGGGGAAUAUUGGACAAUGGACCAAAAGUCUGAUCCAGCAAUUCUGUGUGCACGAUGACGUUUUUCGGAAUGUAAAGUGCUUUCAGUUGGGAAGAAAAAAAUGACGGUACCAACAGAAGAAGUGACGGCUAAAUACGUGCCAGCAGCCGCGGUAAUACGUAUGUCACAAGCGUUAUCCGGAUUUAUUGGGCGUAAAGCGCGUCCAGGUGGUUAUGUAAGUCUGAUGUGAAAAUGCAGGGCUCAACUCUGUAUUGCGUUGGAAACUGCAUGACUAGAGUACUGGAGAGGUAAGCGGAACUACAAGUGUAGAGGUGAAAUUCGUAGAUAUUUGUAGGAAUGCCGAUGGGGAAGCCAGCUUACUGGACAGAUACUGACGCUAAAGCGCGAAAGCGUGGGUAGCAAACAGGAUUAGAUACCCUGGUAGUCCACGCCGUAAACGAUGAUUACUAGGUGUUGGGGGUCGAACCUCAGCGCCCAAGCUAACGCGAUAAGUAAUCCGCCUGGGGAGUACGUACGCAAGUAUG
rnacentral:rRNA from 1 species